UAAAAAAAGGACGCAUUCUGAACGGGGGAUGCUGUGCGCUCUAUGUGAUCAUAAGAAACUCCAUAAGCGUAUAGCUUUUCCCAUUUAGCGCGCGUCGCUUGACAA
rnacentral:pre_miRNA from 1 species